rnacentral:piRNA from 1 species
UGUAAUUUAUUUGGUGUCUCUGAUCAA